rnacentral:rRNA from 1 species
UACGAAGGGGGCUAGCGUUGUUCGGAAUUACUAGGCGUAAAGCGCACGUAGGCGGAUACUUAAGUCAGGGGUGAAAUCCCGGGGCUCAACCCCGGAACUGCCUUUGAUACUGGGUAUCUCGAGUCCGGAAGAGGUGAGUGGAAUUCCGAGUGUAGAGGUGAAAUUCGUAGAUAUUCGGAGGAACACCAGUGGCGAAGGCGGCUCACUGGUCCGGUACUGACGCUGAGGUGCGAAAGCGUGGGGAGCAAACAGG